AAUCCAAUUGUUCAACAGUUUGCAUCAGGAAGCCUGGAUGGGCCAAUCAGAUAUUAAGACAUGAACCAUGGAGGUUUUGCAUGAUGGAAUUUGGAGAUCAGAAUUCUUAGAAGCAUGUGCGUGCAGAUUUUGCUCCUGUCCCCCUGAUUCACACUUUUGAAUGUGUCUUGUAGCCGACCAAAACUCUUGGCCUCAAAAGAGAUUAAACUGGUUCACUGAGGAGUCAUCUUGAUUUGCCAUCGCCAUUUGCCAGCUUGUACAGUAUAUGCUCUUUAGGAUGCUGGCGGAUGUGAAUUUUACGUUUGGGAAAACAUAUGAGAGAGAGAAAUUUAUCCAUUAAUAUUCUUUUUAGUUCCUAAUAUUGUGAACUAAAUUAGAA
rnacentral:misc_RNA from 1 species